rnacentral:lncRNA from 1 species
UCAACUCUACCUNNUGGACCACCUUUGGAGCCAUUAUUAAGCAAGGCUUGAAGAGUAGUGUAGGAAUUUAGGCCAUUGUAUUAGGCCAUGUAGUGUAGGUUUGUUUAAGGCUUGUAUUAAGGCCUAAGUAGCGUAGGAUUUUCCUUAAAAAGUUAGACAUCCAAACCAAGUGGAAAGUGUGUGCCAUAUGUCAUGCUUCCAUUGGAGAGGAUUUGCUUUUUAAAAGGUAGCCACAUGGCACCCUAGGAGUGGAGAGGAUUUACUUUUAGUAGUGGCCACAUGGCACUCUAGGAAUGGAGAGGAUUGUGUUUUGUGAGUGGCCACAUGUCCUCCCAUCAUUGGAGAGGUUAGAAGGCCUCAUUUUUGGCCAAUGAGAGCAAAGGUGGGGGAUCAUGCUUUUAGGGUUAGAAGGAGACACCCUUGGCCUAUAAAUAGAGGUGUCUCCACCCUUGUAUUUCAUCUUUGAUUUUGAGUAAUGUUAUGCUGCCCAUUUUUGGCCAUACUACUCAUCUUAGAUCAAGACUAGAGCAACCCAUGAGGCCCCUCUAGUCACCUUCCUCCUUGAGUUGGCCUAACCUCUCUUGGAGCCACCAAACACUACACCACCACCAUCAUAUCUCCUAAAGGCUUUGAGCUUCUACACCAUCCAUACCUUAACUCAUCAUCAUUGGACCAUUUACCACCACAUUUCCGCAUCAUUCAUCUAAGGAAACACACCUUCUUGUAUCCUUCUAAGCUUUGGCCCAACCUAGCUAAGGAGGUUGCCAUCAAAUGAACUCUACACAUUCCCUACCACACACUCUUAACUCAAAUCUCUCACAACUAAAUUGUUGAACAUGUCCUAAGAUAGUUCAUAACCCACCCCAACUGCAACCAACAAGCUCACCAAAAUCUUUUUCAC